rnacentral:lncRNA from 1 species
AAAAGCUUCACUUGCAAAGCUUCACUUACAAAGCUUCAGUGCAGGGUAUACAAAUAACGCCUCCGAACAACUGCCACUUCGGCCCAUACAUGGAUUCAAUUUGAAGUCUCCAGCCAACAGGCUCUAUUGACUGAAGACUUGGGGGACUACAUUAUGUACCAUAUAUUGGGCCUCAACUGGGCCUCAUGAAAAAUACUUGGGGGACUCUAGCCCAUUAUUUAUGUAUUGAGGAGCGAGCCCUUAUUUUAUAAAAGGGACUCCCUCACCAUCAUUAGAGAGCAUCAACUCUAGCCCAUAUUUAUGUAUUGAGGAGCGAGCCCUUAUUUUAUA